UACGUAGGGUGCGAGCGUUAAUCGGAAUUACUGGGCGUAAAGCGUGCGCAGGCGGUUUUGUAAGCCAGAUGUGAAAUCCCCGGGCUUAACCUGGGAAUGGCAUUUGGGACUGCAAGGCUUGAGUGCGGCAGAGGAGACUGGAAUUCCUGGUGUAGCAGUGAAAUGCGUAGAUAUCAGGAGGAACACCGAUGGCGAAGGCAGGUCGCUGGGCUGACACUGACGCUCAUGCACGAAAGCGUGGGGAGCAAACAGG
rnacentral:rRNA from 1 species